UGGGGAAUAUUGGACAAUGGGCGGAAGCCUGAUCCAGCAACGCCGCGUGAGGGAUGACGGCCUUCGGGUUGUAAACCUCUUUCAGUACCGACGAAGCGAAAGUGACGGUAGGUACAGAAGAAGGACCGGCCAACUACGUGCCAGCAGCCGCGGUAAUACGUAGGGUCCGAGCGUUGUCCGGAAUUAUUGGGCGUAAAGGGCUCGUAGGCGGUUUGUCGCGUCGGGAGUGAAAACAGCGGGCUUAACUCGUUGCUUGCUUUCGAUACGGGCAGACUAGAGGUAUGCAGGGGAGAAUGGAAUUCCUGGUGUAGCGGUGAAAUGCGCAGAUAUCAGGAGGAACACCGGUGGCGAAGGCGGUUCUCUGGGCAUUACCUGACGUUGAGGAGCGAAAGUGUGGGGAGCGAACAGGAUUAGAUACCCUGGUAGUCCACACCGUAAACGUUGGGCGCUAGGUGUGGGGUCCUUUCCACGGAUUCCGUGCCGUAGCUAACGCAUUAAGCGCCCCGCCUGGGGAGUACGGCCGCAAGGCUAAAACUCAAAUGAAUUGACGGGGUCAUAGCUG
rnacentral:rRNA from 1 species